GGUAUUGUUUUUUUAACUCCACGAUAAGCCCCGGAAACUUAUUGUGAUAAUGACAAUAGAUCAUGAC
rfam:Bacillus coagulans 36D1, complete genome.